rnacentral:lncRNA from 1 species
AACCCAUGUAUACACAUAUACAUACACACGCGCACAUACAUAUGUAUGUAAGCAACCGAUAGGUUAAGAAAUCUACAUCACCAUCCAUUCAAAUGACUAACAGCUAGACAUUGCAACAUGGAGAAAAAUCUUGAUCGUCAUUUUGGAUUUUUCAAAAAAGAGUUUACAAGAAUGGAAAGUUGCUCUUUGCAAGUUAUUUAGGCCUUAUGUACUAAUUAAAGUCCUUGAUGGAGAUGCAAAUUAAGCACCAUUUU